ACGCUCGACACCUACGGAGGCAGCAGUGGGGAAUAUUGCACAAUGGGGGAAACCCUGAUGCAGCGACGCCGCGUGAGUGAAGAAGUAUUUCGGUAUGUAAAGCUCUAUCAGCAGGGAAGAAAAUGACGGUACCUGAGUAAGAAGCCCCGGCUAACUACGUGCCAGCAGUCGCGGUAAUCGUGAGGCGGCGUGGCAAGGC
rnacentral:rRNA from 1 species